rnacentral:rRNA from 1 species
UGGAUCCAGACUUUGAUUAUGGCUCAGGAUGAACGCUAGCUACAGGCUUAACACAUGCAAGCCGAGGGGCAGCAUAAACUUAGCUUGCUAAGUUUGAUGGCGACCGGCGCACGGGUGAGUAACGCGUAUCCAACCUCCCGUACACUCAGGGAUAGCCUUUCGAAAGAAAGAUUAAUACCUGAUGGUAUGAUGAGAUUGCAUGAUAGCAUCAUUAAAGAUUUAUCGGUGUACGAUGGGGAUGCGUUCCAUUAGGUAGUAGGCGGGGUAACGGCCCACCUAGCCAACGAUGGAUAGGGGUUCUGAGAGGAAGGUCCCCCACAUUGGAACUGAGACACGGUCCAAACUCCUACGGGAGGCAGCAGUGAGGAAUAUUGGUCAAUGGACGAGAGUCUGAACCAGCCAAGUAGCGUGAAGGAUGAAGGUCCUACGGAUUGUAAACUUCUUUUAUAAGGGAAUAAACCCUCCCACGUGUGGGAGCUUGUAUGUACCUUAUGAAUAAGCAUCGGCUAACUCCGUGCCAGCAGCCGCGGUAAUACGGAGGAUGCGAGCGUUAUCCGGAUUUAUUGGGUUUAAAGGGAGCGCAGACGGGUCGUUAAGUCAGCUGUGAAAGUUUGGGGCUCAACCUUAAAAUUGCAGUUGAUACUGGCGUCCUUGAGUGCGGUUGAGGUGUGCGGAAUUCGUGGUGUAGCGGUGAAAUGCUUAGAUAUCACGAAGAACUCCGAUUGCGAAGGCAGCACACUAAUCCGUAACUGACGUUCAUGCUCGAAAGUGUGGGUAUCAAACAGGAUUAGAUACCCUGGUAGUCCACACGGUAAACGAUGGAUACUCGCUGUUGGCGAUGUACUGUCAGCGGCUUAGCGAAAGCGUUAAGUAUCCCACCUGGGGAGUACGCCGGCAACGGUGCAACUCA